rnacentral:rRNA from 1 species
GACGAACCGAGCGAACGUUAUUCGGAAUCACUGGGCUUAAAGGGCGCGUAGGCGGGCGGUCAAGUCGGAGGUGAAAGCCUGCAGCUCAACUGCAGAAGUGCCCCCGAUACUGAUCACCUCGAGGGAGGUAGGGGCGUGCGGAACUUCCGGUGGAGCGGUGAAAUGCGUAGAGAUCGGAAAGAACACCAACGGCGAAAGCACUCUGCUGGGCCGACACUGACACUGAGAGACGAAAGCUAGGGGAGCGAAUGGG